CAAACGGCCCUUUUCAGGGCCACCGAAUUAUGUUUGAGUAAAGAGU
rfam:Aedes aegypti strain Liverpool supercont1.94 genomic scaffold, whole genome shotgun sequence.